ensembl:lncRNA
GGGUGAUUUACCCUUAAAUGCGGGGUUUUUGAGGAGAAAAUGCGUGAUUUUCCAAAUAAUUGUGGAUUUUUAAAGAGAAAAUGGGUGAUUUUCGGAUUAAAUGGUAGAAUUUAGAAGAGAAAAUGGGUGAUUUUCUAGUUAAAUGGGGGAUUUUCGAAGAGAAAACAGGUGAUUUUCGCUUAAAUGCGUGAUUUUUUAGCUAAAUGUUGGAUAUUCAACGAGAAAAUGCAUGAUUUACCCUUAAAUGGGGGAUUUUUGAGGAGAAAAUGUGUGAUUUUGGGGUAAAAUGGGAAGUUUUCGAAGAGAAAAGGGGUGAUUUUCACUUAAAUGGGGGAUUUUUGAAGAGAAAAGGGGUGAUUUUCACUUAAAGGUGGGAUUUUCGAAGAGAAAUGCGUGAUUUUGGGGUAAAAUGGGAAAUUUUCAAAGAGAAAACGGGUGAUUUCUGCUUAAAUGCGAGAUUUUUUAGCUAAAUGUUGGAUUUUCGAACAGAAAAUGCAUGAUUUACCCUUAAAUGGGGGGUUUUUGAGGAGAAAAUGCGUGAUUUUCCAAAUAAUUGGUGAUUUUUGAAGGGAAAAUGGGUGAUUUUCGGGUUAAAUGGGGGAUUUUCGAAGAGAAAACAAGUGAUUUUCGCUUAAAUGUGUGAUUUUUUGGAUAAUUGGGGGAUUUUCGAAGUGAAAAUGCAUGAUUUACCCUUAAAUGGGGGAUUUUUGAGGAGAAAAUGCGUGAUUUUGGGGUAAAAAGGGGGAUUUUCGAGGAGAAAAGGGGUGAUUUUUGGGUUAAAUGGGGGAUUUUUGAAAAGAAAAGGGUUGAUUUUCACUUAAAUGUCGGAUUUUCGAAGAGAAAAUGGGUGAUUUUGGGGUAAAAUGGCGGAUUUUCGAAGAGAAAAUGCGUGAUUUUUGCUUAAAUGCAUGAUUUUUUUGUUAAAUGGGGGAUUUUUGAGGAGAAAAUGCAUGAUUUACCCUUAAAUGGGGGGUUUUUGAGGAGAAAAUGCGUGAUUUUCCAAAUAAUUGGGGAUUUUUGAAGGGAAAAUGGGUGAUUUUCGGAUUAAAUGCGGGAAUUUUGAAGAGAAAAUGGGUGAUUUUGGGGUUAAAUGGGAGAUUUUUGAAGAGAGAACGGGUGAUUUUCGCUUAAACGCGUGAUUUUUUAGCUAAAUGUUGGAUUUUCGAAGAGAAAAUGCAUGAUUUACCCUUAAAUGGGGGAUUUUCGAGGAGAAAAUGGGUGAUUUUUGGGUUAAAUGGGGGAUUUUUGAAAAGAAAAGGGGUGAUUUUCACUUAAAUGUCGGAUUUUCGAAGAGAAAAUGGGUGAUUUUGGGGUAAAAUGGCGGAUUUUCGAAGAGAAAAUGCGUGAUUUUUGCUUAAAUGCAUGAUUUUUUUGUUACAUGGGGGAUUUUUGAGGAGAAAAUGCAUGAUUUACCCUUAAAUGGGGGGUUUUUGAGGAGAAAAUGCGUGAUUUUCCAAAUAAUUGGGGAUUUUUGAAGGGAAAAUGGGUGAUUUUCGGAUUAAAUGUGGGAAUUUUGAAGAGAAAAUGGGUGAUUUUGGGGUUAAAUGGGAGAUUUUCAAAGAGAAAACGGGUGAUUUUUGCUUAAAUGCGUGAUUUUUUAGCUAAAUGUUGGAUUUUCGGAGAGAAAAUGCAUGAUUUACCCUUAAAUGGGGGAUUUUCGAGGAGAAAAUGUGUGAUUUGGGGGUAAAAUGGGAGGUUUUCGAAGAGAAAAUGCGUGAUUUUCGGCUUAAAUGUAUGAUCUUUUUUGUUAAAUGUGGGAUUUUUGAGGAGAAAAUGCAUGAUUUACCCUUAAAUGGGGGGUUUUUGAGGAGCAAAUGUGUGAUUGUCCAAAUAAUUGGAGAUUUUUGAAGGGGAAAUGGGUGAUUUUCGGGUUAAAUGUGGGAAUUUUGAAGAGAAAAUGGGUGAUUUUCUAGUUAAAUGGUGGAUUUUUGAAGAGAGAACGGGUGAUUUUCGCUUAAACGCGUGAUUUUUUAGCUAAAUGUUGGAUUUUCGAAGAGAAAAUGCAUGAUUUACCCUUAAAUGGGGGAUUUUCGAGGAGAAAAUGUGUGAUUUUGGGGUAAAAUGGGAGGUUUUCGAAGAGAAAAUGGGUGAUUUUCACUUAAAUGGGGGAUUUUUGAAGAGAAAAGGGGUGAUUUUCACUUAAAGGUGGGAUUUUCGAAGAGAAAUGCGUGAUUUUGGGGUAAAAUGGGAAAUUUUCAAAGAGAAAACGGGUGAUUUCUGCUUAAAUGCGAGAUUUUUUAGCUAAAUGUUGGAUUUUCGAACAGAAAAUGCAUGAUUUACCCUUAAAUGGGGGGUUUUUGAGGAGAAAAUGCGUGAUUUUCCAAAUAAUUGGUGAUUUUUGAAGGGAAAAUGGGUGAUUUUCGGGUUAAAUGGGGGAUUUUCGAAGAGAAAACAAGUGAUUUUCGCUUAAAUGUGUGAUUUUUUGGAUAAUUGGGGGAUUUUCGAAGUGAAAAUGCAUGAUUUACCCUUAAAUGGGGGAUUUUUGAGGAGAAAAUGCGUGAUUUUGGGGUAAAAAGGGGGAUUUUCGAGGAGAAAAGGGGUGAUUUUUGGGUUAAAUGGGGGAUUUUUGAAAAGAAAAGGGUUGAUUUUCACUUAAAUGUCGGAUUUUCGAAGAGAAAAUGGGUGAUUUUGGGGUAAAAUGGCGGAUUUUCGAAGAGAAAAUGCGUGAUUUUUGCUUAAAUGCAUGAUUUUUUUGUUAAAUGGGGGAUUUUUGAGGAGAAAAUGCAUGAUUUACCCUUAAAUGGGGGGUUUUUGAGGAGAAAAUGCGUGAUUUUCCAAAUAAUUGGGGAUUUUUGAAGGGAAAAUGGGUGAUUUUCGGAUUAAAUGCGGGAAUUUUGAAGAGAAAAUGGGUGAUUUUGGGGUUAAAUGGGAGAUUUUUGAAGAGAGAACGGGUGAUUUUCGCUUAAACGCGUGAUUUUUUAGCUAAAUGUUGGAUUUUCGAAGAGAAAAUGCAUGAUUUACCCUUAAAUGGGGGAUUUUCGAGGAGAAAAUGUGUGAUUUUGGGGUAAAAUGGGAGGUUUUCGAAGAGAAAAUGCGUGAUUUUCGGCUUAAAUGUAUGAUCUUUUUUGUUAAAUGUGGGAUUUUUGAGGAGAAAAUGCAUGAUUUACCCUUAAAUGGGGGGUUUUUGAGGAGCAAAUGUGUGAUUGUCCAAAUAAUUGGAGAUUUUUGAAGGGGAAAUGGGUGAUUUUCGGGUUAAAUGUGGGAAUUUUGAAGAGAAAAUGGGUGAUUUUCUAGUUAAAUGGUGGAUUUUUGAAGAGAGAACGGGUGAUUUUCGCUUAAACGCGUGAUUUUUUAGCUAAAUGUUGGAUUUUCGAAGAGAAAAUGCAUGAUUUACCCUUAAAUGGGGGAUUUUCGAGGAGAAAAUGUGUGAUUUUGGGGUAAAAUGGGAGAUUUUUGAAGAGAAAACAGGUGAUUUUCGCUUAAAUGCGUGAUUUUUUAGCUAAAUGUUGGAUUUUUGAAGAGAAAAUGCAUGAUUUACCCUUAAAUGGGGGAUUUUCGAGGAGAAAAUGCGUGAUAUUUGCUUAAAUGGGGCAUUUUCGAAGAGAAAAUGCGUGAUUUUUGCUUAAAUGCAUGAUUUUUUUGUUAAAUGGGGGAUUUUUGAGGAGAAAAUGCAUGAUUUACCCUUAAAUGGGGGAUUUUCAAGGAGAAAAUGCGUGAUUUUCCAAAUAAUUGGAGAUUUUUGAAGGGAAAAUGGGUGAUUUUCGGAUUAAAUGGGGGAAUUUUGAAGAGAAAAUGGGUGAUUUUCGGGUUAAAUGGGGGAUUUUUGAAGAGAAAACGGGUGAUUUUUGCUUACAUGUCUGAUUUUUUAGCUAAAUGUUGGAUUUUCGAAGAGAAAAUGCAUGAUUUACCCUUAAAUGGGGGGAUUUUCGUGGAGAAAAUGGGUGAUUUUUGGGUUAAAUGGGGCAUUUUUGAAGAGAAAAUGGGUGAUUUUCGAGAUAAAUCAAGGAUUUUUGAAGAGAAAAUGCAUGAUUUACCCUUAAAUGUUGGAUUUUCAAGGUGAAAGUGCGUGAUUUUCAAAAUAAAUGAGUGAUUUUUGAAGGGAAAAUGGUUGAUUUUUGGGUUAAAUGGGGGAUUUUGAAGAGAAAAUGGGUGAUUUUCGGGUUAAAUGGGGGAUUUUCGAAGAGAAAGUGGGUGAUUAUCGAGAUAAAUCAAGGAUUUUUGAAAAGAACAUGCAUGAUUUACCCUUAAAUGGGGGAUUUUCUAGGAGAAAAUGCGUGAUUUUCAACAUAAAUGCACGAUUUUUGAAGGGAAAAUUGGCGAUUUUUGGUUUUAAUUGGGGAGUUUUGAAGAGAAAAAGGGCGAUUUUCAUUUAAAUGGGCGAUUUUCGAAGAGUAGAUUUGUGAUUUUCGUUUAAAUGGGGGAUUUUCAAAGGGAAAAUGCAUGAUUUACGGGUUAAAUUGGGGAUUUUUGAAGAGAUAAUUCGUGAUUUAAAUUUAAAUGGGGGAUUUCCGAAGAGAAAAUGCCAGAUUUUUGAGUUAAAUGGGGGGAUUUUCCAAGCGAAAAUUUGUGUUUUUCACGUUAAAUUGGGGAUUUUGGGAUUUAAAAUGUGUGAUUUUCGCUUUAAGUGGGUGAUUAAGUGGGUGAUAAGGAGAAAAAUGGUCAUUUUUGGGUUAAAUGGGGAAUUUUUGAAGAGAAAAUCGGCAAUUUUCGCUUAAAUAGGGGAUUUUCAAAGCGCAAAUGUGUGUCUUUCAGAAUAAAUUUGGGAUUUUCAAAUCAAAAAUGGAUGGUUUUCCCUUAAAUUUGGAUUUUCAAAGGGAAAAUGCAUGAUUUUCGGGUUAUAUGGGGGAUUUUCGAAGACAAAAUACGUGUUUUUCGGGUUAAAUGGGUAUUUUCGAAGAGAAAAUGUGUGAUUUUCGGGUUAAAUGGGAGAUUUUUGAAGAGAGAAGGAGUGAUUUUUGGGUUAAUUGUGGGAUUUUUGAAGAGGAAAUUCAUGACUUUCGGAUUAAAUGGGGUAUUUUCAAAGGGAAAAUGCAUGAUUUCCCGUUUAAAUGUUGGAUUUUCAAAGAGAAAUUGGGUGAUUUUCGGGUUAAAUUGGGGAUUUUCAAAGGGAAAAUGCAUUUUUUUUCGGGUUAAAUGGGGCUUUUACGUAGAGAAAAUGCAUGUUUUUCAAGUUAAAUGGGGGAUUGUCGAAGAGAAGAUUUGUUUUUUUUUAGGGGGGUUAAAUAAGGGAUUUUUGUAGAGAAAAUUCUUGAUUUGGGGGUUGAAUGAGGGAUUUUCGAAGAGAAAAUGCGUGAAUUUCAGGUUAGAUGUGGGAUUUUCAAAGAAAAUAUGCGUCAUUUUCAGGUUAAAUGGGGGAUUGUCGAAGAGAAAAUUUACUAUUUUCAGUUAAAUGUUUUUUUUUUUUUUUUUUUUUUGUAGAGAACAUGCAUAGUUUUCAAUGUUAAAUGGGGGUUUUUCGAAGACGAAAAAAGGAAAGAUGAUAUUUUCAGGUUAAAGUGCAAAUUUUUUGAAGAGGAAUUUCAUGAUUUUCUUGUGAAAUGGGGGAUUUUUGACAGUACAUGUUUC